rnacentral:rRNA from 1 species
AGUGAACGCUGGCGGUAGACCUAACACAUGCAAGUCGAACGACAACACAGUAAGAGCUUGCUCUUACGGUUGGCGAGGGGCGGACGGGUAACGAGUACAUCGCAUUCUUCUUUUUCGUGGGGGAUAACGUAGGGCCACUUACGCUACUACCGCAUAUGUCGUACGGGUGAAAUCAGUAGAUCUUCAUACCUUUCGCGAUUGUAUGAGCCGAUGUCGGAUUAGCUAGUUGGCUGGGUAAAGGCCCACCAAGGCGACGAUCCGUAGCUGAUCUGAGAGGAUGAUCAGCCACACUGGAACUGAGACACGGUCCAGACUCCUACGGGAGGCAGCAGUGGGGAAUCUUGGGCAAUGGGCGAAAGCCUGACCCAGCAACACCGCGUGGGUGAAGAAGGCCUUCGGGUUGUAAAGCUCUGUUGUUGGGAAAGAACAGCAGCAGGUGUAUACGCGGCUGUUUUGACGGUACCUAAACAAUAAGCAACGGCUAACUUCGUG